CACGUAGGGCGCAAGCGUUGUCCGGAAUUAUUGGGCGUAAAGAGCUCGUAGGCGGUCUGUUGCGUCCGCUGUGAAAACCCAGGGCUUAACCCUGGGCUGGCAGUGGGUACGGGCAGACUAGAGGUAGGUAGGGGAGAAUGGAAUUCCCGGUGUAGCGGUGAAAUGCGCAGAUAUCGGGAGGAACACCGGUGGCGAAGGCGGUUCUCUGGGCCUUACCUGACGCUGAGGAGCGAAAGCGUGGGGAGCGAACAGG
rnacentral:rRNA from 1 species